rnacentral:lncRNA from 1 species
CGCCGUGGCAACGGGCGCCACGUCGGCGGACGGAGUAGGCCCCGCGGGGGAGGCCCGCCCGCUCCGAGCCCCUCCCCGAGCGCACGGGGUGGGAGUGAGGCCGCGCCCCCAGCGCAAAGCAGCGGUAGCGGAGGGCUGUCCCGCAGGCAGCCGGCCCUCACCCGCCGCACGCCCUUCGGCCCGCGGUCACAGCGGCGCACGGCACACAUGGGCGCGGGCCGCAGCCCGCAGCCGCCGCCUCACCCCGCGCGCGUCAUUUCCUCGAGGCCGCGGCCCGCUCCCCGAGGAGCCGCCGUGAGGAAGGAGCGGUUGUGCAACGCGUUUGGCCCCUCAGCCCCCGCUUACGGGCAGCCGUGAGGCACCUCUCCCGCACGGAGCCACAACUCCGACGCAGCCCCGUCCACCCCCCCCCCCAGCGCCGCCGGGUGACGCACGGAUCGGCGCUCGGCCCCGGCCCACACAAAGCUGGCCGCACGCUGCCGUGUCUCCAAGCGUCAUUUAUUGAUCAUCGGGAGGGGAACCAAACGCGCGGCUGCUCGGUGUGACGGGGUACAGCGGCUCACACCUAACCCGGAUCCGGCGAGGGGGAGGGGGCGCUGAGUGCUGGAGAAGGGCGAGCCAAGGUGUGCUGUGCUGGCACCAUGCCGAGAGCAGCGGGGAUGGAGCUGGGAAUGAAGAUCGGAUCUGACCGGUGCCUCAGGCAGUGACCCGAAGUUACUCUCUCCCCUGCAUGUAAUGAAGAGCUGGAAGCGCAAAGAACUUUCUCUCUCACCCUGCUCACGCACAGAACACACACAGCAGCAGAAGCCGGCUGCUGGACUUCAUUCCACCUUCGGCCCUCAGCUUUAAGAGCCCAGGGAUACCACUCACAGUUCUGCUGUCUCCAGAGACUUCACCUUUCAUCCUCCUCCCUGAAGCAGAUUUCUCCCCGGCUGAUUUCCCCCAGCCACAGUUUCCUCUCCAGAAGCUGCAAGAGCUCCAGCCUACGCUGGGAAUGUGACCCCAGCUGAUAGCUGCAGCACCAGGGAAAGACCCACCACUGUAGUUCUGGAGAAGGACAGCUCAUAGGAGGAAGCUCUACCUGCAGUACAGACCAAGAAACCUGCAAGCACCUGAGGGAAAAACCUCAACACCUCACCCCCCUUCAGCAAGUGGUACUGUGAGCCCAGGAGAGCCAUGCCUAUCCACAGCAAAACAGUCACUUUAGAUCAAACCAUCACGCACACUCAGGUACAAUGUAGAGUUAAGGAACACAGGCUUUAGCAGGGCUGGAACUUAUGCCAAACCACCAAGAGCUCACUGAGACACCAGGGUGAGUUUCAGAGCCUUUCUUUAUCAAGCUGCAAGGCAGAUGGUGAGAGAAUGCUAAAACGCUUCUGUUCUGAGGAAUUUCUACAUCUCCCUGCAGCCUGCAGGGAAAAGUCAGGGCCUGGACCCAGAGAUCAGCAUCUUCAACUCCAGCCAGCAGGAAUAAAAACAAAAGAACAACAACAGCCUUGGGUUUUUUGCUCAACUCAGCACUCAAGCCUGGUCUCACUGAGCAUCCAGUAAGACAGUGCGGCAGGAGUUUGCAUCUUGCAGAUGUAUUUAGUUCCUGGCGUGGCUCUCACCUUUAACCAAAAAUCCAAAGCCAACUGCCUGAAAAGGAGAUAAGCUUGAAAGAGCAGAGCAGCUCACAGCAGUGGAGAGAUGCACAGGUCCCACCUUUGGUGAGAGCCUUCCAUGCUCCCAUGGCUGGCACUUAGCUGGGCAGAUCCCUCAGCCCUUCCUCUGCCAGCUGAGGCACACGCAGCUAGCUUAGCACUGCUGACACAAUAGCACUGAACCUGGGAAUUUCUAGGCCAAAGUGCUCGUACCAAUGGCCAAGCCUGCCAGAGACAGCAAAAACUCAGAGCUGAGGAGAUCAGUUUCUACCUAGCAACAUUUAGAGCACUCGAUACAAAUUAAACACUGCUCUUCGCAUAGAAAAAAAAACCCUAAUCCAACCAUCAGCUGGAUCCUCCCAAACAAUAAAGCUGCUUCACUGCAAGGACAGUUGAAUUAAAAGCAAUGAAUCACACACCCCAUCUACGCAAAGCUGCUUUACAGCUACGUACACCAAAGUAGCAUAAUUCUGGGAACAGUCUGAUCAGCAAAUCAUACCUUAAAACUCACCGUGGGAUUUUUAUUCCUGGAAAAUCUACCACCUCAAAGGCUACAGAAAAUUCAGAGAUUGGUCCUUUCUGGAUGACUCAGAAGCAGGGCUAGGAAGCUCUUUUGUACAUUCAACUGUAAAACACGUGAGGAAGAGGAGUGAGACAACUCUCCUGAUUGUUGCUACUGCCUACAGCAAGUUUUGGUACAGAUAUCCUCUCUUAUAGGCACUCAGUGGGUAAAACGUAGCCACAACAAACUUGCCAUCAAAAAUCUUUCCAGUCAGCAUUUUUUGGGCAGCUUUGGAAUCACCAGCAUUUGCAUAUUCAACAAAGACCUGAAAAAGAGAGAGGAAAAGUAAUGCCCCCGGGGCAGCAUUGCCAUCUGCCCCCCUCCCAACCCUGCAACUGAGAAAAAACAGUCUCUAAGCAAAUUUUCCCCCUCCAUCUGCGGAGGAAUCCAGGGCAGUGGAGCUGAAAAGGAAGAUGAUGCAUCUCUGAGCUGCAAUUUCAACUCUCA